rnacentral:lncRNA from 1 species
AGAAUAUUGGGAUUAUAGGUGUGAGCCACUGCCAGAAAAACUUUUCUUAAGAUAAGGCAGGGUUUACAUUAUAUUUAGAUUUUUUUUUAAUGAUGUCUUUUUUGGCAGUGCACAGCCAGAGAACAACACAUCACACACAGGAAACAGUUGUGCUCAUGUGAUGGGGGCCUCAGCACUAGGAAGGAGUGGACUAUUGGCGCAUGUAGCAGCUUGAAUAAAUCUGAAAGUCACUACACUGCGUAAGAGAAGCCAAAUAAAAAAGUUCAUGCUGUGUACAGAGGGUGUUGAGAAUGCCUCCUACGUGACGGAAAGCAGAUCCGUGGUUCCCUGCAGACCGGCAGGAGCAGAUUCCAAAGGCACAGGAAGAAGCUUGCAGUACAAAGAUAAAAAUCUAAAGUGGUUGCUGUGGAGGACAGGGGUCAGUGGUGGAAGUGAGACUGAAAUGGACUCUGAAGUAAUAUCUGGACUUUGAAAUUGCGCCAACCCUGAGACCAAAAUUUGGAAGGUGGCCCUGAGCAGGAGCUGAAGGGAAGUGGGAGGUUGCCUGUUCACUCUGGCUAGUCAUAUGCAGAAAACUGAAACUAGACCCCUUCCUGACACCUUAUAUAAAAAUUAACUCAAGAUGGAUUAAAGAUUUAAACGUAAGACCCAAAACCAGAAAAAUCCUAGAAGAAAACCUAGGCAAUACCAUUCAGGACAUAAGCAUGGGCAAAGACUUCAUGACUAAAACACCAAAAGCAAUGGCAGCAAAAGCCAAAAUUGACAAAAGGUUUCCUUAACGACAACAAAAAAGGGAGUAAUCCUACCUACUGUAAGAGUCAUGACUCUUGAUUGCAGCUGACAGAAGCUCAUGACA